CGUCGCCGCGGUAAUACGAAGGGUGCAAGCGUUAAUCGGAAUUACUGGGCGUAAAGCGUGCGUAGGCGGUUUGUUAAGUCUGCUGUGAAAUCCCCGGGCUCAACCUGGGAAUGGCAGUGGAUACUGGCAAGCUAGAGUGUGUCAGAGGAUGGUGGAAUUCCCGGUGUAGCGGUGAAAUGCGUAGAGAUCGGGAGGAACAUCAGUGGCGAAGGCGGCCAUCUGGGACAACACUGACGCUGAGGCACGAAAGCGUGGGGAGCAAACAGGAUUAGAUACCCGCGUAGUCCCUGUCUCUUAUACA
rnacentral:rRNA from 1 species